rnacentral:tRNA from 1 species
AAAGAAUUAGUUAAAAUAUAACAUUAGAAUGUCAAACUAAAAUUACUAUACUAUUAGUCUUCUUUA